CAGGCCUAACACAUGCGAGUCGAGCGGAGCGAGGGUGCUUGCACCUUAGCUUAGCGGCGGACGGGUGAGUAAUGCUUAGGAAUCUGCCUAUUAGUGGGGGACAACGUUUCGAAAGGAACGCUAAUACCGCAUACGUCCUACGGGAGAAAGCAGGGGAUCUUCGGACCUUGCGCUAAUAGAUGAGCCUAAGUCGGAUUAGCUAGUUGGUGGGGUAAAGGCCUACCAAGGCGACGAUCUGUAGCGGGUCUGAGAGGAUGAUCCGCCACACUGGGACUGAGACACGGCCCAGACUCCUACGGGAGGCAGCAGUGGGGAAUAUUGGACAAUGGGGGGAACCCUGAUCCAGCCAUGCCGCGUGUGUGAAGAAGGCCUUUUGGUUGUAAAGCACUUUAAGCGAGGAGGAGGCUUACCUAGUUAAUACCUGGGAUAAGUGGACGUACUCGCAGAAUAGCACCGGCAACUC
rnacentral:rRNA from 1 species